rnacentral:rRNA from 1 species
GAUGAACGCUGGCUACAGGCUUAACACAUGCAAGUCGAGGGGAAACGCCGGGGAAGCUUGCUUCCCCGGGCGUCGACCGGCGCACGGGUGAGUAACGCGUAUCCAACCUGCCUCUGACUGAGGGAUAACCCGUCGAAAGUCGGCCUAAUACCUCAUGGCAUCGUCUGCGGGCAUCCAACGACGAUUAAAGAUUUCAUCGGUCAGGGAUGGGGAUGCGUCUGAUUAGCUUGUUGGCGGGGUAACGGCCCACCAAGGCUACGAUCAGUAGGGGUUCUGAGAGGAAGGUCCCCCACAUUGGAACUGAGACACGGUCCAAACUCCUACGGGAGGCAGCAGUGAGGAAUAUUGGUCAAUGGGCGGGAGCCUGAACCAGCCAAGUAGCGUGCAGGAUGACGGCCCUAUGGGUUGUAAACUGCUUUUAUGCGGGGAUAAAGUGAGGGACGUGUCCUUCAUUGCAGGUACCGAAUGAAUAAGGACCGGCUAAUUCCGUG